rnacentral:ncRNA from 1 species
GACAGCCCCCGAAAGGGGGAAGUUAAAAAUAAAUUUGGUCGUGUUGGUAAACUUUGAAAAUUAACUUUCAAAGGUUGAAGAUUCGGCUGAUGUGCAUACAA